CCUACGGGAGGCAGCAGUGGGGAAUAUUGCACAAUGGGGGAAACCCUGAUGCAGCGACGCCGCGUGAGUGAAGAAGUAAUUCGUGAUGUAAAGCUCUAUCAGCAGGGAAGAAAAGGACGGUACCUGAGUAAGAAGCCCCGGCUAACUACGGGCCAGCAGCCGCGGUAAGACGUAGGGGGCAAGCGUUAUCCGGAUUGACUGGGUGUAACGGGAGCGUAGCCGGCAGGGCACGGCUGGAGUGAACGGCGGGGGCUCAACCCCCGGACGGCUCUGGAAACGGUACGGCUGGAGUGCAGGAGCGGUAAGUGGCAUUCCUCUUGUAGCGGUGCCAUGCGUAGCUCUUCGGCGGAACACCAGUGGCGAAGGCGGCUUACUGGACUGUACCUGACGUUGAGGCUCGAAAGCGUGGGGAGCAAACAGGAUUAGAUACCCGGGUAGUC
rnacentral:rRNA from 1 species